rnacentral:rRNA from 1 species
GACAGAGGGGGCAAGCGUUGUUCGGAUUCAUUGGGCGUAAAGGGUGCGUAGGCGGCGCGGUAAGUCGGGUGUGAAAUCUCGGGGCUUAACUCCGAAACUGCAUUCGAUACUGCCGUGCUUGAGGACUGGAGAGGAGACUGGAAUUUACGGUGUAGCGGUGAAAUGCGUAGAUAUCGUAAGGAAGACCAGUGGCGAAGGCGGGUCUCUGGACAGUUCCUGACGCUGAGGCACGAAGGCCAGGGGAGCAAACGGG